rnacentral:lncRNA from 1 species
CUGGUUUUGCAUGGAGAAGCAGAACAUGAUGAAGCAUUUUUCUCCCCCAUUUAAAGAUCCAGUCAUGUUCCAGUUUGCAGGGGCAGAAGGGCUGGUUUGCAGUUGGUGCUGGGAGGAUAGAGUUUCUUCCACAGAAUUAUCUCACUAAAUAACUCUCGCUAAAGCCUAACAAGACUUGUCAUCAAGCCCAUUUUCCGGAGGGAGAAACCGAGACUCCAAGAACUACAGAACCUAUUUCUGUGUCUCAAUACGUAGGCCGGCUCUCCGACUUGACGGAAUCGCUCUGGCAACAGCGCCCUCUAAAGGCGGAGGCGAGUAUGCCUGCGUAACAGUCGUGCCCCGUCCUUUGGCGCUGGAAAUGGCGGAGGGCUCCCUCUGGCUUCUGAGGAUUGUCCAGCGCGCCUCCGAGGUCCUGGAGAAGCCAGGAGCGCUGCCUACAACUCGGCCUUGACUUCCCCGCAGCCUUGGUCGCCGCAGCAUUGGGUCAGAGGCAUCCCUGGAGAUUGCAGAAAGUUAGCGGCGGCCCCUGUUGACGCAGCGAGUGACGGCCCGACAUACCCUGAUAGGCCACGGGGAGGGCCAGACGCAGAGCCUUGAAAGAAGGAGCUUGCGCUCUGGAAGGGGCGUGGCCAGCGCUCUUCCUCGAGGGCGGGGCUCUAGGGGAAGGGGCUCUUCUCUGGGAUAUUGUGCCACAAGCGAGGACACCCGUGCACCUAGCCCAGGGCCUGUGUCCUGGCGUCAGCGCAUCUGUGGGCAGCAACUUUACCCUCCCCAGACCUCAGUUUCUGCACCUGUAAGACGGAGGCUCUUCCACAACUGCAAAAAUCGGAGUUUCAUCCAGCAUUCUCAGAAUUCCUGUCUCCAGGCAGGCACUGAGGAAUCAGAGCUGCGUUCCUGUGGAGGCUCAGAGCUCUGAGAUCUCCUUCACUUGCUGCAUCAGUACUCCUGACACUGGAGAGUUCUGGAGGUUGGAGACCAGCCCCUUCCUGGUGGAACAGGCACCCUGUAGCCUGGGAUGUGACAGUCAUAUGACAGGGCCUGUAACAAGUAACAGUGGUAGCCCAAAUAUGUCGAGCACUUACUAUAUGCCUGGCUUUUCAUGAAGUCUGUCGCAUACGUUAUUUACACCCCCACCCGCACAGCCGUGUCUGGUGGUCCUGUUCUUGACAUCCUGUUUACUGAUGAGCCCAGAGUCACACAAUAGUAGCCAGUCCAAGGUCACCCAGCUAAUAAAUGGCUGAAGCAGUAGUCCACAGUCUCAUCCACUGUUCCGUACCAAAAAAAAAUGUUUAACCUGGAAGGGAGAUGGCAGAGGGGGAAAAUUACAAGAUCCUACCAGUGUUAAUCUAUACCUGGAGUUGAGCCCUUAGUAUGUGUUGGAUGCUGGCCUACACAUCAGCACCAUUUAUACUCCUGACAGUGACCUUAUACUAUAGGGUUGUUAUUUCCACUUCUGAGAGGUCAUCUCAUAUGUCUCUGGUCACACUGCUAGUACAAAACUGGAACUUUGAGUUUAAUGGAUGGUACACUCAGCCUGCCUGUAUAUCACUCUUAGGAAGACCCCACUCUUCUCUGAGCCUGUUUCCCGUUCUGCACAAUGAGAGGUUUGGACCAGAAGGCUCUGGACAUUGUUUCCUGAGCUCACAUUCUUUGAUUUUAGGAGCAUUGACAUGAUGUCCAGAGUCCUGGGUUUGUUCCUAAUUAUCUAUGACUUGGGAACGCCUCGGCCUAAUCCCUUGCAUCUCUGGGCCUCAGUUUCCCCCUUUGUAAAAUGUGGAGAUGAGAAAGUCUCAAUCACCAAGGGACCUUCUGGCUUUAAUAUUUUAUGACUGCAAAUGAAGAGACAAGCUGAGGUUCAGCAAAUUGUGCAUCCUCUGAGAAAUUCUAAUGAAUGUGAUUCUGCCACCUUGCUCAAAACAUUCCUGGUGCAAGGCUUCCAAGGACAGAUGCCCAUGUAGGUCAAGGGGAACAGCCACCUCCAGAUAAUCAGCAUUAACUGCUGGAGGAGGCUCACUCUCCUGAUGGUCCAAAAUCCACCCCUGUGGUCAGACCAGCUUAAGACUGAAUGCCAGCACUUCCCCCUGGGCACCUCAGAGAAGUGACCCUUUCUGUGCCUUAGUUUCUACAUCUGUAAAAUAGGGUGCUAACAGGACCAGCUUCAUUUGAGAUUUGAUGGAAAAACAUGUGCAAAAAGCCUAACAUGGACAUUCCCUGGUGGCUCAGUGGGUUAAGGACCUGGCAUUGUCACUGUCGUGGCACAGGUUUGAUUCCUGGCCCAGGAACUUCCUCAUGCCAAGGGUACAACCCCAAAAAAAAGCCUAACAUGCUACUUCUGGCUUAGGAAAACCCCCAAUAAAUACAACUGUUACC